GAGAAAGUCAGUCCUUUGUGCUGCUCUUGAUCCACUCUAGGUACUCGAGGCUGCCACCAUUGAUAGGCAAAGCAAUAACUUCAGGCACCUCGUAUGGGUGAUUUGCCUUUACAUGAUCUGUCAGUGCUCCCAGAAGCGAUUGCCUGGUCUUAAUAAUCAGAAGUUCCUCAGGGUCCGUCUGGAUCUCUCCCUUCCACUGGUAAACAGAUUCUAUACCGGGUACCAUGUUAACACAAGCAGCAAGUUUUUCUUUGACAAUGCUUUCAGCCAGCUUCUUACCUGCUUCCCUGUUAGGAACGGUGACAUAAAC
rnacentral:misc_RNA from 1 species